rnacentral:rRNA from 1 species
UACGUAGGGGGCAAGCGUUGUCCGGAAUUAUUGGGCGUAAAGCGCGCGCAGGCGGUCAAUUAAGUUGGGUGUUUAAGCCCGGGGCUCAACCCCGGUACGCAUCCAAAACUGGUUGACUUGAGUGUAGGAGAGGAAAGUGGAAUUCCACGUGUAGCGGUGAAAUGCGUAGAGAUGUGGAGGAACACCAGUGGCGAAGGCGACUUUCUGGCCUAUAACUGACGCUGAGGCGCGAAAGCGUGGGGAGCAAACAGG